AAGGGUUCCUGCGCAACGCUAAUCGGCGCAGGGUUAGCCGGCCCCUAAGGCGAGGCCGAAAGGCGUAGUCGAUGGGAAUGCAGUUAAUAUUCUGCAGCUUGGUGGUAGUGACGGAUGCCGUGUGUUGUAUCUCCUUAUUGGAUUGGGGGUGCAGCGAAGGUGUUCCAGGAAAUAGCUCCACCGUAUAAACCGUACCCGAAACCGACACAGGUGGACUGG
rnacentral:rRNA from 1 species